rfam:Myotis davidii contig20119, whole genome shotgun sequence.
GCCGUUUUGGCUCAGUGGAUAGAGCAUCAGCCUGUGGAUUGAAAGGUCACAGGUUCAAUUCCUGUCGGGGCA